CCCCAGUGACUUCCUUCCCUCUCCCGUGCUGGACUCUAGAAGGAUUAGAGAGCCGUCUGAUGGCUGAAAGUUGAACUGGGUGGUAAGAGAGCACAGCCUGGGCGUCAGUGGAGAGGGAAAGCCAUACAAAUCAUGACACAGACAAACAAGUGGCAGCCCGAGAGGUCACCGGAAACAGGGCCAAGAACCAUCGCUGCGGGACAUCAAUAGAAACACGCCUGUUCAGUAAUGAUUUUCUGUUUGAGACCUAUCAGUUAGCUAGUUUUUAAAUCUAUGUAUGAUGUAUCAUGUUGAUGUUGUAUUGUUCUAGUUUCUUAAUCAAAAUGUAGUUGGGUACCUAGUCAAAUGCCAUACAGAAGUCCAAGCAUAAUACACCAACACUACCAUCUUCAUCAACCACAUUUGUAAUAAAGAAAAAGGAUACCAGCAUAAACCCAUGUUGAUUGGCAUGAAUUGUUUUA